GAGGAAUAUUGGUCAAUGGAGGCAACUCUGAACCAGCCAAGUCGCGUGAAGGAUGAAGGUCUUAUGGAUUGUAAACUUCUUUUGCAAGGGAAUAAAGUGGGGGACGUGUCCUCCUUUGCAUGUACCUUGCGAAUAAGGAUCGGCUAACUCCGUGCCAGCAGCCGCGGUAAUACGGAGGAUCCGAGCGUUAUCCGGAUUUAUUGGGUUUAAAGGGUGCGCAGGCGGGAUGUUAAGUCGGCGGUGAAAUUUUGCAGCUCAACUGUAAAAUGGCCUUCGAGACUGGCUUUCUGGAGUGGGGAUGAGGUAGGCGGAAUUUGUGGUGUAGCGGUGAAAUGCUUAGAUAUCACGAGGAACUCCGAUUGCGCAGGCAGCUUACCAAGCCGUAACUGACGCUCAAGCACGAAGGAGUGGGGAUCAAACA
rnacentral:rRNA from 1 species